rnacentral:rRNA from 1 species
AUUGAACGCUGGCGGCAUGUCUUACACAUGCAAGUCGAACGGCAGCACGGGUGCUUGCCCCUGGUGGCGAGUGGCGAACGGGUGAGUAAUACAUCGGAACAUGUCCUGUAGUGGGGGAUAGCCCGGCGAAAGCCGGAUUAAUACCGCAUACGAUCUACGGAUGAAAGCGGGGGACCUUCGGGCCUCGCGCUAUAGGGUUGGCCGAUGGCUGAUUAGCUAGUUGGUGGGGUAAAGGCCUACCAAGGCGACGAUCAGUAGCUGGUCUGAGAGGACGACCAGCCACACUGGGACUGAGACACGGCCCAGACUCCUACGGGAGGCAGCAGUGGGGAAUUUUGGACAAUGGGCGAAAGCCUGAUCCAGCAAUGCCGCGUGUGUGAAGAAGGCCUUCGGGUUGUAAAGCACUUUUGUCCGGAAAGAAAUCCUUGGCCCUAAUACGGUCGGGGGAUGACGGUACCGGAAGAAUAAGCACCGGCUAACUACGUG